AACGAACGCUGGCGGCAGGCUUAACACAUGCAAGUCGAGCGCCCCGCAAGGGGAGCGACAGACGGGUGAGUAACGCGUGGGAAUCUACCCAUCUCUACGGAAUAACGCAUGGAAACGUGUGCUAAUACCGUAUACGUCCUUCGGGAGAAAGAUUUAUCGGAGAUGGAUGAACCCGCGUUGGAUUAGCUAGUUGGUGGGGUAAAGGCCUACCAAGGCGACGAUCCAUAGCUGGUCUGAGAGGAUGAUCAGCCACACUGGGACUGAGACACGGCCCAGACGCCUACGGGAGGCAGCAGUGGGGAAUAUUGGACAAUGGGCGCAAGCCUGAUCCAGCCAUGCCGCGUGAGUGAUGAAGGCCCUAGGGUUGUAAAGCUCUUUCACCGGUGAAGAUAAUGACGGUAACCGGAGAAGAAGCCCCGGCUAACUUCGUGCCAGCCGCCGCCGUAAUAC
rnacentral:rRNA from 1 species